GAGGAAGAUAGCCUUGCUUCCCAGUCAUCUGGGCAGCGUGCAGCCCCUAUUUUAUGUAGGUUAUGGGGAGGUGAUGGGACUGCCUGUGGUGAGAAGGGAGGCUUGAUUCUCUUCUCUGAGGAGCAGGCCAGGCUAUUGAAGAGGUCUUUGUUCCUUAACUUACUGCUGAAACUGCAUAAGCUUGUGUGCCUUGCUCUGACUGAAAGCAGAAGGUUGGAUGGCUCAUCUGAACAAGGGGAAUAAAACCACACCACUUCCUGGACUGAACUUCUGGAAAAAAAUCAUAGUAAUUUCACCUGGACCUUAUUAGCCUUACAAUUAGAAGAACUUUUUUUUUCACCGCCUUGUGUUCUGGGAGAGAAAGUGACUUAACUGGAUUAAGCUGGGCUGACAGGCUGCCCCUGACCAGAAGCCUGCUAUGCUUAAUGAAACACCAGCUGAGCUUCUUGGAUCCAAGCAUGUGAAGUGAGGGGGCACGUAAGCAUCUGUUUGGAUACAACUGAAAAUCCCAGCUGUCAGUGAGGAUUUAGCAAUGUGCAGCUGAGAGGUGGCUCCUGUUCUCAUUGAAAAGUACCUCAGUUACUGGAAGGUACCUUCUGGAUGGAGCCUUCCAAUGGUCUUGCUGUGCAUACCAGGACAUCCUGCCAAACACCUGGAAACUUGACAGCAAUGCCCAAUGAGGAUGUUGCCUCCCUCUUUUGUCUUUACUGCUGCCCUGGUGGUGAUAUUACUAAGAUGCUGAUUCUUUUUCUCUGUGGGUGCUUGCAAUGCACUCUCAGGAUGAAAAGAUCCACUUCAACUCUGAGAUGAUGUGUAAGAAAGCUGAAUUAGCUUCCAUGCUUUUGAACAAGUGUUAGUUAAGACAUAAUGCUGUAGCACGUGGCAACUAAUUUGUUAUUGUAAUAGAAGAGCUCUUGAUGACCUCACUCCUUCUGCCUAGAGCACAACACUGCUUCCAACGCUACAGGAAAGCUGCACUAACUCUAAAAUACAGAAAACUGGUUAGAGCUCAUUCAAACUGUCUAUGGGAAGAACAGCAACGCUCUUAAAAGCACGACUAUUUCUCCAAUGAAAGAGAACUGGGGGAGUGCUGUGAUGAGGUUUUUUGGAUGUUGUGAAGUGUUGUGUGUUGAGGAAGAGGCAGGUAUAACCAAACCUGGUAAAACUGCUCUGGUGGUGGUUGCAGAUGUGCCUCAUGAACUGCGUGUGAUAAGCUUGGAGAACCUGUCCUGUCUUCAGCCUGCUGUAACUAGAGAUCAUCAGAGCGGAAUAUCUGUUGAUGCUGAAGACAGUUCUGAUAAGGUACUGAUGAGACAAAGAUACCUCAACCACAAUGACACUUAAAUACCACGUAUAACCUGGUUAAAGCUUUUAGGUGAAGCUGGCAUCUCCGAAACAAAGACCUACCAACUCCGUCAGGGUGUGAACUUGUGCUGCAGCUUGUGCUCAGCCCUUUCUUGAGGAGCACCCAGGAAAGUGGUACCAGAUCAAAUCCUCAGGUUACGUAAAUGAAGUCUAUGUCUUCAAUGGGAAGAACUUUUCCUCUUUAAAAAAAAAAAAAAAAAAAAAAA